GGGGGCGAAACGGAUUCGACGGGGAUAAAGAGGUGCAGGUUGCAUGCCGGGUUCCGCCACCUCGUAAAAUGGCGGGCAUAAACAUAAUCGCAGACGAUUAUAACUACGCUGUAGCCGCUUAAGACGGCUGCCGUCCUGCAGUUUCCUUCCUGCGGAUUCUGUAAGGGCGUCGACUAUGCAGGAUAGCAGCCUGUUGAUGCCUGUAGACAUGGCUGCGAAAUCCCACAGGCUAUCCGCACAAAUUCUUGCCUGAACAGAAUUUGUGCCGGAGAAAACCCUUUGUUCAGGAUAAGCAUGUAGACGCCUGUACUGAAUAUUUCCGGACGCGGGUUCGACUCCCGCCGCCUCCACCA
rnacentral:tmRNA from 1 species